GCAAAUUGAAAAUUUUUGCACCAAAAUGAGAAAAGAUAUUUUGUCUGCUUUCAGCUUUAUAUAAUAAUAAUUUAUGCAUAAUUGGAUCACUUUGUUGUUGAAUACAGUCAGACUAUUUUUCGACAGUUUAGUGUAAAACUCCACCGUACACCAUUUUGAAAAGUGACGUAUGACGGAGUCGUACACUGAGCAGACAUUCUGUUUUCGCUGUGUAUACAUAUAUUAUGUCAAGUAUGUGCUCAGCUUAGGUUUUUUUGUGGAAUAAUGAUCACAACAGUUCUGUACUGGUAAGCAUUAAUUUCUUAGGCAAAGUCACGGAAUUGUCAAGUUGGACUGUGCAUAAUUCUCUCCCCGCGGUUUUAUGCCCCCAAAAAUUCUGAAAUCAUGCAAAUUGAGCCCUAAAAUGUGAAAUUAUGCGAUUCUGAUAAUUUUAAUAAAAGAAUGAUAAAGGAAAAUAAUCCGAAAUUAUGCAAAAAAUUAUCAAAUUUUGCUAAAUUAUGGGGGGUGCAUAAAACCCCGGAGACAGAUAAUUUGGUCGGUUAUUAUGUUGAAUACAUGUAGGAUACUGUGAGUGUGAGCUGAGACAGUUUUCUUUUGUUUGGUGUAAGUGAACAUCUUAAAGCAGAUUGUUUUUUGUGAUGAUCUAUUGAGUUUGAGAAAAAAAUAGAGGAGAGUUUCAAGGGAAGUGUUGAAAAUGUGAGAGUGUGCUGUGUACAUUAUUCAUCAAGUACCAAUACCAUUACUAUGUCUGAUAUAAUGCUGCAAAUUCUGUUGGUAUUAUUAUGAAAUAGAAAAAAAUGUCCUAUUUUUCUUGUUGAAAUAAAGACUAUUCUCAAAGCUUC